AGUGAACGCUGGCGGCAUGCCUAACACAUGCAAGUCGAACGGAAGCACAGUAAGAUCUUGCCCUUACGGUUGGCGAGUGGCGGACGGGUGAGGAAUACAUCGGAAUCUACUUUUUCGUGGGGGAUAACGGAGGGAAACUUACACUAAUACCGCAUACUACCUACGGGUGAAAGCAGGGGAUCUUCGGACCUUGCGCGAUUGAAUGAGCCGAUGCCGGAUUAGCUAGUUGGCGUGGUAAAGGCCCACCAAGGCGACGAUCCGUAGCUGGUCUGAGAGGAUGAUCAGCCACACUGGAACUGAGACACGGUCCAGACUCCUACGGGAGGCAGCAGUGGGGAAUCUUGGGCAAUGGGCGCAAGCCUGAUGCAGCCAUGCCGCGUGGGUGAAGAAGGCCUUCGGGUUGUAAAGCCCUUUUAUUGGGAAAGAAAAGCAGCAGGUUAAUACCCCGCUGUUCUGACGGUACCCAAAGAAUAAGCACCGGCUAACUUCGUG
rnacentral:rRNA from 1 species